rnacentral:rRNA from 1 species
GACGAACGCUGGCGGCGCGCCUAACACAUGCAAGUCGAACGGGAUCUUUUGGGAGCUUGCUCCCGGCUGAUCUAGUGGCGGACAGGUGAGUAACACGUGAGCAACCUGCCGAGAAGAGGGGGAUAACGUCUGGAAACGGACGCUAAUACCGCAUAACAUACCGGAGUGGCAUCGCUUUGGUAUCAAAGGAGCAAUCCGCUUUUCGAUGGGCUCGCGCCCGAUUAGAUAGUUGGUGGGGUAACGGCCCACCAAGUCGACGAUCGGUAGCCGGACUGAGAGGUUGAACGGCCACAUUGGGACUGAGACACGGCCCAGACUCCUACGGGAGGCAGCAGUGGGGGAUAUUGCACAAUGGGGGAAACCCUGAUGCAGCGACGCCGCGUGAGGGAAGAAGGUUUUCGGAUUGUAAACCUCUGUCUUUGGGGAAGAGUAGAAGACGGUACCCAAGGAGGAAGCCACGGCUAACUACGUGCCAGCAGCCGCGGUAAGAC